CCUACGGGUAGCAGCAGUCGAGAAUCAUUCACAAUGGGGGAAACCCUGAUGGUGCGACGCCGCGUGGGGGAAUGAAGGUCUUCGGAUUGUACACCCCUGUCAUGUGGGAGCAAAUUAAAAAGAUAGUACCACAAGAGGAAGAGACGGCUAACUCUGUGCCAGCAGCCGCGGUAAUACAGAGGUCUCAAGCGUUGUUCGGAAUCACUGGGCGUAAAGCGUGCGUAGGCUGUUUCGUAAGUCGUGUGUGAAAGGCGCGCGCUCAACCCGCGGACGGCACAUGAUACUGCGAGACUAGAGUAAUGGAGGGGGAACCGGAAUUCUCGGGGUAGCAGUGAAAUGCGUAGAUAUCGAGAGGAACACUCGUGGCGAAGGCGGGUUCCUGGACAUUAACUGACGCUGAGGCACGAAGGCCAGGGGAGCGAAAGGGAUUAGAUACCCCAGUAGUC
rnacentral:rRNA from 1 species